UACGAAGGGGGCGAGCGUUGUUCGGAUUUACUGGGCGUAAAGGGCGCGUAGGCGGCUACGCACGUCCGUUGUGAAAUCGCUCGGCUCAACUGGGCGGGGUCAGCGGAUACGGCGUAGCUGGAGCAAGCUAGGGGGCAAUGGAAUUCCCGGUGUAGUGGUGGAAUGCGUAGAUAUCGGGAGGAACACCAGUGGCGAAGGCGGUUGCCUGGAGCUUUGCUGACGCUGAUGCGCGAAAGCGUGGGGAGCGAUCCGG
rnacentral:rRNA from 1 species